AAGUCUCUCUGUCCUGUGUUUGAUUGCAGGUGUGACUGGAAAUGAAGGUGCUCCAGCUUCCCCUCUGAGUUCCAGGACUGAAACUCCGGCAGAUCACAUGGUGCCCCCGGGGAGGGCCUUGCUGGUUUCUCGGCUCCUUCCUGCGAUGGAGACCAGUUGGAAUCCCAUGGGUCCGCAAAGAGGAAGUAGAGGAAAGGAUACAUCUAGAAGAGGGAAGUACUCACAGAGGUCAUCCCAUAUCCUAAAUGAACUCCUGAAGAAAAUGGAGAUGGCAGCGUAUGGUGGGACUAAAGGGACUGACCAAGAGACUGUGCAGAAGGAGCCAUUGCAGGAAAGCAGC
ensembl:lncRNA